CCCUAGCCCUGAUAGCAGUGAAAAUCCUUUAUUGUUUUUUCUUUGAAAAUAAUAAAGAUUGAAACGAAUAGCAGGAUUAAGC
rnacentral:sRNA from 1 species